rnacentral:rRNA from 1 species
CUUAUAUACCGGUUCUCGUUAGAUCACCGAAGUUAAGCAUCUUUGGGCGCGGUCAGUACUUGGGUGGGUGACCACCUGGGAACACUGCGUGCCGUU